UGCUGCAGCUCAAUGCUGAAACAAACAUGGACAAGGACUGAUAACAAGGAACUGAUGGAAUGCUACUAUGACAGCAGACCCAAUGAGAGAGGCUACAUGCAACACAUGUG